rnacentral:rRNA from 1 species
GGACCCGCACAAGCGGUGGAGCAUGUGGUUUAAUUCGAUGCAACGCGAAGAACCUUACCUGGUCUUGACAUCCUGCGAACUUUCUAGAGAUAGAUUGGUGCCUUCGGGAACGCAGUGACAGGUGCUGCACGGCUGUCGUCAGCUCGUGUUGUGAAAUGUUGGUUAAGUCCCGCAACGAGCGCAACCCCUAUUGAUAGUUACCAUCAUUAAGUUGGGUACUCUAUUGAGACUGCCGCUGACAAGGCGGAGGAAGGUGGGGACGACGUCAAGUCAUCAUGGCCCUUACGACCAGGGCUACACACGUGCUACAAUGGGUAUUACAGAGGGCUGCGAAGGUGCGAGCUGGAG